ensembl:lncRNA
GGGCAACUUGAUUUGAAUGAUUAAUGUAAUCAUCAAAGCUCAUAUCAGGUUGGCCCACAGCCCUACAUUCGAUAUCUACUGGCUCUUCACAGAUCUCUUUUCCAUUUUCAGCUAUGUUUUUAUAAGUCUCCAAGUCAUCCCAUCCUCCUACUGCAGGAUUAUAUACAUUAAACCAGUCAGACCACCAACAUAUCAUACAAAAUGUUGUAGUAGAGGAUUCUGUCAUAGUUGUCGGUGUAGGGGUAGAUGAUGUGGUAGGUCCUGGUGUUGUUGUAGUAGACGUUGUAGUAGUUGUCGGUGCAGGGGUAGAUGAUGUAGUAGGUUCUGGUGUUGUAGUAGUAUACAUUGUAGUAGUUGUCGGCGUAGCGGUAGAUGAUGUGGUAGGUUCUGGUGUUGUAGUAGACUUUGUUGUAGUUGUUGGUAUAGUAGAUGAUGUGGUAUGUUCUGGUGUUGUUGUAGUAGGUAUAGUAGUUGUCAGUGUUGGAGUAGAUGAUGUGGUAGGUUCUGGUGUUGUUGUAGUAGUUGUCGGUGUAGGGGUAGAUGAUGUGGUAGGUUCUGGUGUUGUUGUAGUAGUCUUUGUUGUGGUAGAUGAUGUGGUAGGUUCUGGUGUUGUAGUAGUAGAUGUAGUAGUUGUCAGUGUUGGAGUAAAUGAUGUGGUAGGUUCUUGUGUUGUAGUAGUAGACAUAGUAGUUGUCGGGUUAGGGGUAGAUGAUGUGGUGGGUUCUGGUGUUGUAGUAGGCUUUGUGGUUGUUGUCGGUGUAGGGGUAGAUGAUGUGGUAGGUUCUGGUGUUGAUGUAGUAGGCUUUGUGGUAGUUGUCGGUGUAGGAGUAGAUGAUGUGGUAGGUUCUGGUGUUGUAGUAGACUUUGUGGUAGUUGUUGGUGUAGGAGUAGGUGAUGUGGUAGGUUCUGGUGUAGUUGGUGUACAUUCCUCCACACAGAUUUGAUUUUGCUCAUCAAAAAUAGGCUUAUCCUCUGGACAUUUUGGAUAACAACCUGUAUAAAACAAUAAAUAAAUACAUAUGUAAAUAUAGUUGCA